rnacentral:rRNA from 1 species
AGGGAUAGCGUCUGGAAACGGACGGUAAUACCAUAUAAAGUAUAUUAACGGCAUCGUAGAUAUACCAAAGCUGAGGCGCCUAAGGAUGGACUCGCGUCUGAUUAGAUAGUUGGUGGGGUAACGGCCUACCAAGUCGACGAUCAGUAGCCGGACUGAGAGGUUGAACGGCCACAUUGGGACUGAGACACGGCCCAGACUCCUACGGGAGGCAGCAGUGGGGAAUAUUGCACAAUGGGCGAAAGCCUGAUGCAGCAACGCCGCGUGAAGGAAGACGGUUUUCGGAUUGUAAACUUCUGUUCUUAGUGAAGAAUAAUGACGGUAACUAAGGAGCAAGCCACGGCUAACUACGUGCCAGCAGCCGCGGUAAUACGUAGGUGGCAAGCGUUGUCCGGAAUUACUGGGUGUAAAGGGAGCGUAGGCGGGAAGCCAAGUCAGCUGUGAAAACUACGGGCUUAACCUGUAGACUGCAGUUGAAACUGGCUUUCUUGAGUGAAGUAGAGGUUGGCGGAAUUCCGAGUGUAGCGGUGAAAUGCGUAGAUAUUCGGAGGAACACCGGUGGCGAAGGCGGCCAACUGGGCUUUAACUGACGCUGAGGCUCGAAAGUGUGGGGAGCAAACAGGAUUAGAUACCCUGGUAGUCCACACUGUAAACG